rnacentral:rRNA from 1 species
GACGAACGCUGGCGGCGCGCUUAACACAUGCAAGUCGAGCGAGAACCAGUCCUUCGGGGCUGGGGACAGCGGCGAACGGGUGAGUAACACGUGGGUAAUCUGCCCUCGGCACCGGAAUAGCCCGGGGAAACCCGGAUUAAUGCCGGAUGGCCUCUCUGCCCCUCGGGGCGGCGAGAAAAGGUAGCUUCGGCCUCUGGCCGAGAAUGAGCCCGCGGCCGAUUAGCUUGUUGGUGAGGUAUCGGCUCACCAAGGCGACGAGCGGUAGCUGGUCUGAGAGGACGAUCAGCCACACUGGGACUGAGACACGGCCCAGACUCCUACGGGAGGCAGCAGUGGGGAAUCCUGCGCAAUGGGGGAAGGCCUGACGCAGCGACGCCGCGUGCGGGAAGAAGGCCUUCGGGUUGUAAACCGCUUUCAGGAGGGACGAAGCCACUCGGGUGAAUAGCCUAGAGGGUGACGGUACCUCCAGAAGAAGCCCCGGCUAACUACGUGCCAGCCGCCGCAGUAACAC